rnacentral:lncRNA from 1 species
CAGAGCACGUCACAAAUGGGACUGCCUUGUCCCCAGAACCGUAACUGCGGAGGUUCCCACCUUCUAUUUUCCCACCCUACCUCCCUGCCCCACUUCUGCGCCCUGGGUUCUGAAUUACCAGUCAGAUUCCCUCACUUCGCUGCUCGGAUCCCUUCAGCAUCCUUCCAUCUCACUAGGAAUAAAAUACAGAAUCUCGACCACACUUCGCAAGCCCUCGUCUGCUGUAUCCUUCCAGGCACACACUGGCUUCGUGGCAUCUCGGCUCUUCUCUCUUCUCCUGAAUCCUCUCCCUGUCACCUGUGGACCUGGCCGGGGCAGUUCCCUCGGGGGCCGUUUACCUGGGCUGUUUCUGCGCUCACGUACCCACAGGAGGUGCGUGGUAGAACACCAGGCAUGUGCGUGUUCUCCCCAUGGAGGCGGUGGAGAGACAGGACAGGCUGCAGGAGGAGGUAAUGAGUAACUGCUCCCGCCAAGUGCUCCCUGCUUCCUGAAGGGGAAUGCUGUGGGUCUCCAUCCGCCAUACCAGCUAUGGCUUGCUGAUAUUGACACAGCCCUCAUCUCUCCUUCUAAACUCCAGGCCAAAGACAGAGUCUCAGGGCCCGGGACCCUCACCAUGUGGUUCGCUUUGGACAGAAAGAAAGGUGAAGCCACUAUGCACUGUGCUUUCCUUGACACACAAGCUGUGGGCAGGUGUGUGGCCUCGCGGGUGGUAUCCAAGGGCAGGCCCAAGACCUCAGGUGUCUCCCUGAAGGGAGAAGCCUCCCUGGGGCCCGCAUGUCCAGACUGCAGCAAGUCCUCUUCCACGCUCUGCCCGGAUGGCGUCCAGCAGCUGUGUCAGCAAGCUUCCUCUCCUGUUUCAAGCCUCUUUCCCCUCAGUAGGGCAGUUUUUCUGACCGAACCCUGACUGAUAGUUACAGAGACUGAGCAGAAAGGAGGGCAAACCCAGUCAUCCAGGUGCCCACGCUGGAGGGCACCCUAGGCCCAGGGAAGGGGGGGCCUCGGGCCCCGGCACCUGACUUCUGGACUGGGCCAGCUUCCCUGAAAUCCCGAGUCUGUGUGCAGCCCUCACACAUCACAGAUCCUUUCAACGAG